rnacentral:lncRNA from 1 species
GUCAGUUCUAAGUUUUGAGAGUUACCUGAGUGAGUUGAGAAAAGGUUAACUAUCUAAUGGUUAAACUUAAAGAGAAAGAUACGGGCUCAAAACCUUUUCCCGUCAUCUUGGUAGGAAAUGACAAUCUGGGCGAAGAUGGUUGCUCUGACAAUAGAAAACCAGAAAGAACUGGCAGAAAACAAAGUUGCAUAUGGGGUAGAUAUGAUUAGUAAAUAUCCCCAAAUCACCAAUUCUGACCUUCUCAACAUUACCGACACUUCUAAAAAACUGGACGUUUUACUUCAAAUGAAGAAACAGUGGGAUAACUCACUCUUCUUCCAAAUAUGCUGUUUUGAGUAAAUACAGCUUAAGAAUCUCUCUGACAUAUUGUUACCAUGUUACUGUGUGCUGUAAAUGCAACAGACUGGUUAAAGAUCAAGUCCUAACCGCAACCAUGUAUUUCCUUUGUUUUAUAUAUUUAGGUCAGAUGCUAAACAUAGCUUUAACAUAUUUUCUUUGUGGUUUAAUUUCCUUUGUGAUUAUUUCUUUUAUUUAAUGGGAGUGUAAAAAUGUCCCAAGGACUAAAAAACAAAUUGCAGCUCAUUUUUAACAUAGGCAUUAGGAGGUAGUCCGUUAGCUUGCCUUUGGGUCAAGCUUUCAGGAUCAUUUCGGGUUAAAAAUCCAACAGUGAGACAUUUACAUUUUCUUAACAAAACAGAGGGGACUAUAUUCAUGUGGUGUUCUUUCAUACCCCCUUGGGCCUGAGUUUUAUAACAAACAAGGAAUGAGAAAAUGUGGGCUUCAUAGUGACUCUCAGUGAUUCUCUGGUCUGCACCUCCCUAGAGAUGCCUAUGAGGCGCCUGCAAGUGGCACCACCCCACAGCUCAUAAUGACUCCCUGGAGGUGUGGAGGGAUUCCUGGACAUGUAAGAAGGAAAGGCAAACUAAGUCAUCAGGGCAGCACCCCAGGACCACCGUGAACUUCACAGCGGUGCAAAGAGUGAUGUGUGUCUAUCUCCUAAGUGUUAAAGCUGCAAAGAAGUUUUUCAUUACUAUCCAGCUUAUUAAUGUGUGUUUGCUUCUGGCACUUCAUUCAGUUUGCACCCUGAUAGUGAACAGGUCUGUUUUAAUGUUGCCAGAUGACUGCCUUCAGCAACAAGGAUCAUAUGCUUUCUCAUUCACAUCAGGAGGGAGAAAGGGAGCCACAGCACACAAUUUUGGGGCAAAAGUUCAAUGAUUGGUGUUCAAUCCCACUCCAUUUGUGGGCCAAGGGAACAUCAUGGGUCAGGAUUAUCCUGAUUGGAUUAACUUUGGGAUAAGGAUGAGGUUAAUUCCACCUAAACUUCUGAGGCGUGUCCUGCACAAUGUGGAAAGAAUGAAACAGAUUUUGAGAAGGCAGAAAAAAUAUAGGAAAGAACUGAAGAUGUAUUCCAGGUUUCUGAUGCCAUUCAAAGAUGUAGGGGAUUCAGGAGGAAGGUGGUACACUUGCCGAUAAGAAAGAAACACUACAACUUAGUACUGUUGCAGUCACCCACAGAAAUAAGAUGGGUGCCCUCCUAAAAUUUGGUUCACCUUUCAAGAUUUCUGAUACCAUGCAUCACAAGAGAGUGUAAGUUUAUAAGUCACAAAAUGAGAAUUUCUAGGAAGAGGAGGGCAGGCUUUCCAAACAAAUCCAACAUGGCGGGGAGAGGAUGCAGGGAGGUUGGGAGAAAGACUGGCCUUUGGGGAUUUUAUGGUGACUAGGGCUUGAUACUAGGGUGAAAAUUCCUACACAGAGGCCACAACUUGUGUGGCUUGAAUUACCCACCGGCACCAAAGAAGGGAGCACCCAGGAUUUCUUAUCAGCCUGCCCAGAUGUAGGGCAAGAGGGAAUGGAUGAAAGAUUGAAAGUUGUCAACCAUCAAACUGCCAAACAUCAACUAUGGAGUCGGAGUCUUUAUUACCUGUGUUUAGAGUUUUAUUUAUUCCGACAAGAAAAUAAUAUAAUUUUUAUAUGUUUAUAUGCUUUGAAAAUGAUUUUAUUGGACAUUUGCUUUCUCAAUAUUUGUUUGCCAAUUUCAUGACUACCACCUCAACUCAAGCUUCCAUAAUUCUUCAUUCUAGCUAUCAGUCUUCUAACUGGUUUCUUUGUUUUUCCAGAGAAAAACCUAUUCCCUGUCUAAUAACCCAUCCUGUGCACUGCUGCUGAAGGAAUUCUCCCCAACCCUGCUUAAACAAUCCAUUAGUUUUCUACUGCCUUCAGAAUAGAUUUCAAACUCCUUAGCGGUUUAUAAAAUUCUUCAUCCAUCUUGACCUACCUAUAGUUCCCAUUUCUCCUGCCACAUUCCCACACAUCACAUCAUCUUUGCUUCCAUUAUAUCUCCCUACACACGACACUUACCUCCACAGUUCCUAGUCAAGGAGAUACAUACCAAGGUACGGGUACUUUUGUUGGAAACACACUUCGUUUCUUUUUAGGUUGUCCAAAUCCUUUGGAUUAUUCAAGACUCAUCUUAAGCUUUACUUUUUAUGAGAAGUACUUCCUGUUUAACACAGGUUGAAUAUGGUGCUCCUCCUCCACAUUUUAAUAAUAAUCUUGAUUUCAGUGCUGGUUAUUACACUAUUUUAUUGUCUACAUCUUUCUCCAAACUUGAUCCUCUUGGGGGUAAGGAACCGUGUUUCUGAGCUCAGAAGGUCACAAUCUAUUAGGAUAAUGGGCCUGUAGCCUGCAGAUAUAUACAUAACAAAGAUAAAUAAUAAUGCCAGAUGGCUUAUGAAAAAUACUCUGACAAGAAAUAGAGCCAUAAGUUCUAAUAUUCUUAAGUUCUAAGGAGAUAAGAGGCACUAUAGAGAAAUUAGGACCUUCAUACAUUGCUAGUAGGAAUGUAAAAAUUGUACAGCCAUUUUGGAAAACAAUCUGGCAGUUUCUCAAAAGGUUAAGCAUAGAAUUAGCAUAUGAGACAGCAAUUUUAUUCCUAGGUAUAUAUAGCCAUGAAAAUAUUAUCUUGACACAAUAACUUUGUAUGAAUGUUCAUAGAAACGUUAUUCCUAAUACCCUCAAAAUGGAAACAACCCAAAUGUUCACCAUUGUAUGGACAAAUGAACUUUGAAAAUCUGAUGUGAAGUGAAGGCAGCCAGAAAAGACUACCUGUUACAUGAUCGCAUUCAUAUGAAAUGUCCAGAACAGGCAAAUCUAAAGACAUAAAGUGGAUUAGUGCUUGUCUAGGCCAAAGGGGCAGGGAAUAGGAGGGAUGAAGUGUGACUGACAAAAGGCAUGAGGUAUCUUUUUGAGGUGACAAAAAUGUUCUGAGGUUGAUUGUGGUGAUGGUUGAACAAUUCUGUAAAUAUACUAAAACCCACUAAAUUUAUACUUAAUAAAAAAGAAAGAGCACAGAUUACUGUGUGAAGGAGAGAAAGACUUCACAGAAUUGGUGAAAUUUGGAUUCAGUGAUGAACAAAUGAUGUGAAAAGCAGAGGCAGUGUGCUGUAGGGAAAUCAACAAAUGCUUUCAUUGGGCAGAACUGGCUUGGAAUCCUGCUCUGCCACUUGGUCAAAUUACCCUCUCUAGGGAUAGCCCGGGUGGCUCAGCGGCUUAGUGCUGUCUUUGGCCUGGGGCAUGAUCCUGGAGACCUGGGAUCGAGUCCCACGUCAGGCUCCCUGCAUGGAGCCUGCUUCUCCCUCUGCUUGUGUCUCUGCCUCUCUCUGUUUCUCUCAUGAAUAAAUAAAUAAAAUCUUAAAAAAAAAAUUACCCUCUCUAGCUCUUUAGCAUUGUUUCCCCCUUUAUCCUUACCAAAAAAGUGAAUAUAUUAAUGUAAUAUAUUAAUGUAAUUACUUCGGAGGAUGUGAUGACAAAUCAGAUAAUAGAUUUAAAAUAUUUAGCCAGGCACAUAAGAUAAUUAUGGCAGGCACAUAGCAAGUAUUUAAUAAAUAUCAGCUUCUAUUAUUAUGUUCGUUUAAUUAAUCUUAAAUAUUGGAUUAGGUGGGACAGAGGAAACAUAUAGAUCUAUCAAUGAAAACUCUCAGAAACUCAUCUGAGGUUCCAGUUGAAAGGGAUAUGAGAUACAAAAUGAUAUAAAGGUAAUUGUACUCAGUUUAAGAAACGUUUAUUAAAUACCUUUCUUUUAAUCACUAAAAACUGUGAUAUUGCUGCAUAUACAAAGACUAAUAAGUAGAUUGAGAUACAUACAAAUGAAAAGCAGUCUCUGAUGUGGUGGUGUAGUAGAUGGGUAAAUAAAUUUGUUUAAGGAAGCAUCAUACUUGCUAUAAGAGAAACUUGUUCACUGUGCACAUGACGAUGGAGGACAGAAAAACUGGAUAUAGAAGAGUGACAUUUGUUCUCAACUACUCACUAACCACUUAAGCCUGCACUAACUGGAGAAUUGUUAGGAUUCCUUGCUGACAUUUUCCACCUCGAGUACACAGCAGAGAUUAUUAAAGGCUUGAGCUGAUUUUGUUCAGUGGAAAGAUGAGAAAAAUAACAUCCAAAAUGUUAAAGAAUGCCUGUUAAUUUGAUGACUGUGAAUAUUCCAGAGACUUAUGCCCAAAGUUCCCAGAUUACUUGUCUAUCUUUCUUACUAGACUAUAAACUCCUUGCAGGCAAACAUCUUGAAUGUAUCUGGUCCAUUCUCCAAUUGCCAGCAGGCCAAGUAUACAUUUAAUAAAAAAUUGUUAAAUGAGUGUUCCUCAAAUCCCUCCCUUGUCAAAAAUGGAAGACUCUUUAACGAGUGACCAGCCAGUUGACUGUUUAACAGUUACACUUUGAAAUGGACAACCCCCCCCCCAAAAAAAAACAACCCCUAUAUAAUCAUGUUUCCUUUCAAAUAAAACCCUGACAGUUAUGUCAUUCUCUUUUCUUUUCCUUCAGGAGGAAUUAUUUGAUUGAAGGCUUGGAAAAAAGUGGGUGGCUUGGCAGCUGAAAAUAAACUCCCUCUGAAACAAAGAUGGCAUGUAUAAAUUGCUGUGAUCUGGAGCUGAGGCCAAGAACAAAAAAUAAUUCUUGAGCAGUCUUCCCCUUAAUGUCAUAGGGUCUGGAGAGGCUCUGGGCUUCGGUGCAUUCCGUUGCACGCAAAGAUGAACUGGAACCGUUCUCCAGUCAACUGUUUCUUGAGCACUUACUACCUGUCAGGCAUUUAGCUAAGAUGGUUGUUGUUGUUGUUGUUGUUUUUUUUAAUUGAACUCUGCCUGGAGGUGGUGAAAACAUCAGGCGGGGCUUUUCUCAGCAACAAUCCUGCAGAAUCCCAGAGGGGAGUAUCAUUUUGGGGGGAGGGUUUUAUCUGCAUGCAUUAGGCGUAGCCACUGGGCCUGUCACUCGUGAGGAAGGAGAAGCUGAAGCUAACAGGAGGCGCUUCCUGCGUCCCCCUCCUUUGCAGAAGGCAACCCCCGGUGGGCUGCUCUAGCCAUUGGAGGGAGGCGUGGCUUUAAGGAGGCGUGGCUCUAAA